rnacentral:rRNA from 1 species
GACGAACGCUGGCGGCGUGCCUAAUACAUGCAAGUCGAGCGAAGUUUUUCUGGUGCUUGCACUAGAAAAACUUAGCGGCGAACGGGUGAGUAACACGUAAAGAACCUGCCUCAUAGACUGGGACAACUAUUGGAAACGAUAGCUAAUACCGGAUAACAGCAUUAACUGCAUGGUUGAUGUUUAAAAGUUGGUUUUGCUAACACUAUGAGAUGGCUUUGCGGUGCAUUAGCUAGUUGGUGGGGUAAAGGCCUACCAAGGCGACGAUGCAUAGCCGACCUGAGAGGGUGAUCGGCCACACUGGGACUGAGACACGGCCCAGACUCCUACGGGAGGCAGCAGUAGGGAAUCUUCCGCAAUGGGCGAAAGCCUGACGGAGCAACGCCGCGUGAGUGAAGAAGGAUUUCGGUUCGUAAAGCUCUGUUGUUAGGGAAGAAUGAUUGUGUAGUGACUAUACACAGUAGAGACGGUACCUAACCAGAAAGCCACGGCUAACUACGUG